rnacentral:rRNA from 1 species
GACGAACGCUGGCGGCGUGCCUAAUACAUGCAAGUCGAGCGGACCACUUCGGUGGUCAGCGGCGGACGGGUGAGUAACACGUGGGCAACCUGCCUGUAAGACUGGGAUAACACCGGGAAACCGGUGCUAAUACCGGAUAAUCCUUUCCUUCACAUGAAGGGAAGCUGAAAGACGGUUUCGGCUGUCACUUACAGAUGGGCCCGCGGCGCAUUAGCUAGUUGGUGAGGUAACGGCUCACCAAGGCAACGAUGCGUAGCCGACCUGAGAGGGUGAUCGGCCACACUGGGACUGAGACACGGCCCAGACUCCUACGGGAGGCAGUAGUAGGGAAUCUUCCGCAAUGGACGAAAGUCUGACGGAGCAACGCCGCGUGAGCGAUGAAGGCCUUCGGGUCGUAAAGCUCUGUUGUCAGGGAAGAACAAGUACCGGAGUAACUGCCGGUACCUUGACGGUACCUGACCAGAAAGCCACGGCUAACUACGUGCCAGCCGCCGCAGUAAUAC